CAAUGCAGCCAUUCCACCCCACUGGAAGCUCAUUGGCUCUCCUUGGCUAAGCAGGGUCAGGGCUGGCCAGUAUUUGGAUGGGGGACCCAAGGUACUGCAGCAAGUCGUGCCAGUGC
rnacentral:rRNA from 1 species